AUUGAACGCUGGCGGCAUGCCUUACACAUGCAAGUCGAACGGUAACGGGCCUUCGGGUGCCGACGAGUGGCGAACGGGUGCGUAAUACAUCGGAACGUGCCCGAUCGUGGGGUAUAACGAGGCGAAAGCUUUGCUAAUACCGCAUACGAUCUACGGAUGAGAUCAGGGGACCGCAAGGCCUUGCGCGGACGGAGCGGCCGAUGGCAGAUUAGGUAGUUGGUGGGAUAAAAGCUUACCAAGCCGACGAUCUGUAGCUGGUCUGAGAGGAUGAUCAGCCACACUGGGACUGAGACACGGACCAGACUCCUAAGGGAGGCAGCAGUGGGGAAUUUUGGACAAUGGGCGCAAGCCUGAUCCAGCCAUGCCGCGUGCAGGAUGAAGGCCUUCGGGUUGUAAACUGCUUUUGUACGGAACGAAAAGCCUUCUUUUAAUACAGGAGGGUCAUGACGGUACCGUAAGAAUAAGCACCGGCUAACUACGUG
rnacentral:rRNA from 1 species